rnacentral:rRNA from 1 species
UGGGGAAUAUUGGGCAAUGGGCGCAAGCCUGACCCAGCAACGCCGCGUGAAGGAAGAAGGCUUUCGGGUUGUAAACUUCUUUUGUCAGGGAACAGUAGAUGAGGGUACCUGACGAAUAAGCUCCGGCUAACUACGUGCCAGCAGCCGCGGUAAUACGUAGGGAGCGAGCGUUGUCCGGAUUUACUGGGUGUAAAGGGCGUGUAGGCGGGAUUACAAGUCAGAUGUGAAAUUCCGGGGCUCAACCCCGGAACUGCAUUUGAAACUGUAGUUCUUGAGUACUGGAGAGGCAGGCGGAAUUCCUAGUGUAGCGGUGAAAUGCGUAGAUAUUAGGAGGAACACCAGUGGCGAAGGCGGCCUGCUGGACAGCAACUGACGCUGAGGCGCGAAAGCGUGGGGAGCAAACA